AUGUCCUUUCUUCCUUCCUCUCUCCUCCUGAUCACUAACCAAGGUCUUUUUGGAAUGAUUUACUCCAGCCCUCUCCAGCAAUUUUCAACUGCUCCCUUCACCUUCUUCCUAAAGUAUACACACACGCCUGCACCCAUGUACCCCAUGCACACAUGCAGGCAUGCACACAUCUACAUACACACACACAUGCAUACACACAUGCAUGCAUACACCUACACGCAUGUGCAUACCCGCAUGGAUGCACACACCUACAUACACACAUACACAUGCAUAUACACAUGCAUGCAUGCACACACCUACACAUGCAUAUACACAUGCACGCACACACACAUACACGCAUAUAUACAUGCAUGCACGCUCACACCUACAUACACACAUACACACAUACACAUGCAUAUACACAUGCAUAUACACAUGCACGCACACACACACACAUGCAUACACACAUACACGUGCAUAUACACAUGCACACACACAUAUACACACGCAUAUAUACAUGCAUGCACGCUCACACCUACAUACACACAUACACAUGCAUAUACACAUGCAUAUACACAUGCACGCAUGCACAAACCUACACACAUACACAUGCAUAUACCCAUCCAUGCACACACCUACAUCCACACAUACACGUGCAUAUACACAUGCAUGCAUGCACACACCCACCUACACAUGCAUAUACACAUGCACACACACAUACACGUGCAUAUACACAUGCACACACACAUACACACAUACACAUGCAUAUACCCAUGCAUGCACACACCUACACAUGCAUAUACACAUGCACGCAUGCACAAACCUACACACAUACACGUGCAUAUACACAUGCAUGCAUGCACACACCUACAUACACACAUACACACAUACACACAUACACGUGCAUAUACACAUGCACGCAUGCACAAACCUACACACAUACACACAUACACAUGCAUAUACACAUGCACACACACAUACACGUGCAUAUACACAUGCACACACACAUACACGUGCAUAUACACAUGCAUGCAUGCACACACCUACAUACACACAUACACGUGCAUAUACACAUGCAUGCAUGCACACACCUACACAUGCAUAUACACAUGCACACACACACACACACACGCAUAUAUACAUGCAUGCACGCUCACACCUACAUACACACAUACACAUGCAUAUACACAUGCAUGCACAUGCCUACGUACACACAUGCGUAUGCGUGCGCACACACCCACAUACUUACACGUGCACGUACGUGCAUGCAUACCCCUGCAUACACACAUACACACAUACAUGCACACAUGCACACACAUGCACACGCCAAGUCCCCAUUUCAGUCUGUGA
rnacentral:lncRNA from 1 species